UUUUUAAUUUUGAUUUCCACAUCAUAUAAGUAAGAGUGUAAACAUGAAAUAAAUAUAUUUUUAUAGUUAUUAUUUAACAGAAUUAUUAAUAUAUCUGUUAUUAAUAUAUAACUUACUGUACAAAUGAUAGGAAAAAUAUAUGAGAAAUGAUCAGGAAUGGCAUGAACAGCAUUUAAUUUUAGAAAAGGAACUUUAUUAAGCACAAAAACUGGUGUUGGAAAAAAAAACAUGAACUAAAUUAUAAUAAAAAAAACAUCUCAUUCUUCUACUGGUUCAAGAAAAGAGGAAUAUUUGAAUGAAGGAUCACAAGCACACCAUGAACAUGAAUUAUCUUAGAAAGAUAAGGAAAUAUUCGAACUUAAAAAAUCAAAGAAUGUAAUAUAGAGUCUAAGUGCAGAGACUUACAGUCAACAGAAAUGUACAAAAGAAAUGUAGCAACAGUAUCCGUUUGAUCUCGAUAACCUAAAUCAACAGUUAAUUAGAAUGUAAAACAUCAAUACCUUUUCGCACAAAUGUGAAGGAAAAUCUACCAUCGUUAGACCGACCGCCAUCUAUGGCUAAAAGAACACGCUCGUGUUCAUGAAUUCCUGGUACUUCACAGACGUUUUUAUUCAACAAUGGUGGCUUCGCACAAAUUCCAGAUUCCAUAUCCCCCGAAAAUGAAACGACACACUGAUAGAGUCACGUCGCCACGUCGGACACUUUUGUUGAAGCGCGCUAUUCAAACUACAAUAAAUACACAUUAAUUGUCGUUUCAUAUAUGCAUACUAUCAAUAUUUUUAAUACGGUAUGGUGGUAUACACAAGCUCUAUUUCACACCUCCCAUUCACGGUUGCUCAUAGGUACGUGGCCUGUUACAAUAUCAUCGAGGUAAAUCAACACAAAUUUACUAACCAACACUCGGAAUAGUAGGUAGUACACUAUUUGGUCGUACCAAAAACAAAAAAAAAUAUUGCUACACACAAAUACUAAUCCUAGUUUUAUCAACCAUGGAUUGGAAUCGAAGGUCUGUCACAACCUGCGCUAGUUUUAGUAUUACAUGGGCUCAGAUUUUAAUGCCCCAAAACUGUAAAAAAUAUUGGAAAAAAAUUCAUUUUAACUGCAAUAAUGUCCUUAAAAAUUUACCCAAAUUGUUUUUUAUAUUUUAUAUUUUAAUUGUAUACAAGUACAAUAAAAUAUAUAAGAUUAAAUUAUAUAAAGAUA